rnacentral:rRNA from 1 species
AGCAACGGCUAGUUAACCGCCAACAGCUCAAAUUUGAAAUCUGGCGCUCCGGUGCCCGAGUUGUAAUUUGCAGAGGAUGCUUUUGGCCAGGUGCCUUCCGAGUUCCCUGGAACGGGACGCCAUAGAGGGUGAGAGCCCCGUACGGUCUGGUGCCUAGCCGCUGUAAAGCUCCCUCGACGAGUCGAGUAGUUUGGGAAUGCUGCUCUAAAUGGGAGGUAAACUCCUUCUAAAGCUAAAUAUUGGCCAGAGACCGAUAGCGCACAAGUAGAGUGAUCGAAAGAUGAAAAGCACUUUGAAAAGAGAGUUAAAUAGCACGUGAAAUUGUUGAAAGGGAAGCGCUUGUGACCAGACUUGGGCUUGGUAGUUCAGCCGUCCUUUUGGGCGGUGCAUUCUGCCGGUUCAGGCCAGCCAUCAGUUGCCGGCUGGGUAGAAUUGUACUGGGAAUGUGGCCUCUUCGGAGUGUUAUAGCCCGCUACGUAAUGCCCUACUGGCGACUGAGGUUAGCCGUUUUCACCGGAUGCUGGCGUAAUGGUUAUUAGCGACCGCUCUUGAAACACCGACCAAGGAGUCGUCCUGCUAUGCGAGUGUUUGGGUGUUAAACCCCUACGCGAAAUGAAAGUGAACGCAGGUGAAAAGCUACGGGCGCCAUUCACCGACCCGGAUCCUUCCGGAUGGAUUUGAGUCCGAACAUAGCGGUCCCGACCCGAAAGAAAGUAAAC